ACUGAUGAUCGUAAUAAUGAGAAAGUUUCCAAAGGUCAUCAAGUGAUAAUCAUUUUUGUAACAUGUAAACAAAACAUUUAUAGACACGCAGAGAGAAAGAGUCAGAGACACAUUUACAAGGCCAAUUAGAUGUCAUUAAGAUGGAGAUUAUCACCAUUAAACCAGAAGAAAAUCCCAUAAGAUGUAACAAGUUGAAAGUUAAUUUGUUUUCGUUGGUUUAAGAUGUAAAGACAGAGAGCCAGAAAAAGACAAGGAAAAGAAAGAAAGAAAAAGCUUCUUUAUAAUGGAAGAGAAUCAUCUUUAAGUCUCAUGUAUCUUGGAUUAUUAGUCUAUCUUUGUGGAUAAAGAAUCAACCUGUGGACGUGAAAAUCUUGUUACAACUAAUGAAACAUUCAACAGUUACAGUAUUCAGUGUAAGGAAUUAUUUGGAUUCUUCUCUUCAUCUUUAAACUAAAUGCCGUUAAUUAUGUUUGGUGAUUGUUUAAUUAUUGAUUAUUUACUUGUUUUCUUAUUGACCUCAAAUAACAGAUUGUGAAAACGUCAAGAUCAGAUUUUUGUUUGACUUUGGAAAAUAUUAAUAUUUCAUUAACUCUGUUCCGGUUUAAUUGUAAUCAAGGCUUAAUAUGAUAUUGAACUCAAUUUCAUGUCAGGAAUAUACAGAAUAUACUGAAGCUGCUGGAAUAAUUAAUUAUUCGACUUUUAUUUUUUGUCAUACUAAACACUAACUAUCAAUAACUUUACAUAUAAUAUGGAAUCAGAAUUGAAAUCUAUUUAAUAGAUACAAAAUGACCCUUUUAAAUAUGUACUUUCGUGCUUGACCAACCAUCUUUUAAUUGAUCAACCAACCAAACAAUCAACACACACAAGAAAUGGACCCAAACAUUAAAAACAUACACAUAACCUACAUUUUCGAAACAAGGAAAAUGCUGAAGACAUAAAGAGAGAGAGAGAGAGAGAGAGAGAGAGAGAGAGGAUAACUCAAGGAAUUGAAUAUCCAUCCCUAGUUUAAUCCUAUGGAAAAUUAUAAUCAUCAACUAAUUGUGUAAUGUGUUAAUUUAACCCUUAUUGUUAGUAAAUUGCCAUUUAUUAUGGGUAAUAUUACAAUAACUUGACUGUUGGUGUUAAAUGCAGAGGGGUAAAUGCUAAAAGGAAGAGGAAAAGGAGGAGAAUCAGUGAUUUGUUUUCUGUUUAUGACGAGAUUAAUGAAACAAAACACAAAAGAAUGUAAAUCAAUUAUUAUUCUGGGUUAAAUUGUACAUUUCCGCUGAUUUUUUGGCAUUGUUUCAAAUGCGAAGGAUAUUUAUAUUAAUACAUAUUUCAUCAUGAUGACUUACAAUCAACUUGAAAGAAAACAGAUGAAGAAAAGCUCAAAAGAAAAGGAUUUAGUCUAUGGUGGAGUUCGUGGUGAUGAAAAAAGAAUAUCGAUAUAAUUUGAUGAUACUCACAUGACCCAAGCUCGAUUGUUUGGAAGGUUCAGCUUUAAUAAUUGGAAUAUGGGAUGAAAAUUGUUGCGCCAAAACAGAUCGACUUCGAGUAACUGAUCGUGCAAGCCUAGCAAAUUUGCUAAGUCCUUUACUGGCAUCAUCUUCAAUCGGCUGUUUUAGUGCGGUUAUAUCUCGAAAUGUGAGCAAAAAUAGUACCACAACGUCUUUCUCAUUCUUAAUUGGAGCAAUGUGCAAUAGAAGCCAUAAUGGUGUACCUGAUUGGAAUUAAUUUGAUGGAUUUUAUUUGGUUGACCAACGAGAAAAGUAAUAAUAACAAUAAUGACCAAUUCAAGUUAUACACACAAGAAGAAAAAAGGAAGAGAGAGAAAAUUGUAUCAAGUUAAUCUGGUUAACACAUUGAUUGUGUCAAAAAAAGAAAGUGAAACUUGUUAUCUUAAUCAUAAUCAUCAUCUAAAUACAUUAUGUUAGUUUGAUGAUGAGAUAAUUUCAACUACAUUUAAAACCAUAAACUGAAAAUAAGUGGACUUAUAACACGGAAUGGCAAAGUUUUAUCAUGAUUACAGGUUUCGAAAUCGAUUUACCUUUGGAUGGAGGAAAAAAAAUAUCAUACAACAAGUAAAGCCAAUUACUAUUAUCAUCAUCAUCGCUAUUAUCAAUUGAGGUCACAGGUAGUGAGGACUUUGCAAUAUACACAUAACGGAUAUUAUACCUGAGUACGAAUUGGUCUUGGAAUUUUCUUUUACCUUUCUUUCUGGUGAUUAUAUUUCAUGAUAUUUCAUAACUUUCUCUAUCAUCAACUCCAGAUCAAUUGGAGAGAGAGAGAGAAAAAAAAUCAAUUUUUUCAGGGAUUUUUUAAAAGUCUCUCUCCUGUCAAAAGGGUAGAGUUUAUGUUGUUCUUUAUUUUAUUUUUUUUGAUUCUAUGGCAUAAUUAUAAUGAUACAAUUUUCUUGGAAAUGGAAAGAAAAAGUUGUCCCCUCAAAUAUUUGGUUGAACUUACGAUUUUUCUUAUAAAGAAGUAUCUCAAAUUGUUCCAUUGAAUGAUUGUCCAGUGCAUUCUCAAUCUUGGAUAUGGUCGCUUUAUCUGUCAUCUCACCGUACAUGAAGGAAACAAUGUUCAAAACUCUGAUGACGAUAAAGAGGAAGAGGAAAGAGAUUGAAUAAUCAAUUCGUAGUAAAAGUGGAUAACCCUAAGAACAGUUCAGUGACUCUCAUUUUUGGUCAUCAUCUCAUUUUACUCCUUUAUUUUCAUUAUAUCGUCUCUCUGACAAUCUAAUCAUAACCAUCUCAUCAGCAUACAUACUGAUAAUGUGAAUGAGUAGGAGUUUCCAGUUAUAUAAAAACAAUAAUAUCGUUAAUUUGUCGUUGGAAAGACCCUUAACAAGUCAAUGUUGACCAGUGAAUUGGUCAGCAAAUUAGAGUAACAUUAAUACUAUUAAUUAAUUGGAUACAAUAUAUUAUAUGGUCAAGCCUUUUUAAUACUUGGAAACACAAUUGAUGAUAAAAAUUUGAUAAUCGGCUUGACGAUCAGUUUCAUUUAUCUUUGGUCACUAUAAAUGGUAAAUGUUUUUUUUUGAUGGACAAAUGGACAAUCAUAACCAGCCUACUAAUCAACUGAUUCCUAACUCAGGAUAAUUUCAUUGAUCAGUGGAAAGUUGGUUUUUUUCCCUGGGAGUGAGUGGACAUCCCAAUUCUGCUAUUACAAGUAAAUCGGAUUCCCUCCUUAUGGAAGUUUAUUUUUCCACUUUCGUUUCAAAGUCAAUCUAUUCUUCAAAAGAUUCUUUCAACUGGAAUAGCGAAAAAAAGAUUAUAUUAAUCCACAAAAUCCACCGAUUAAUCGUAAAUGAUUAUCAAUAAUGGAGGAGGCUCAAUGAAAUGUUUCAAACAAGUAUCAGGGAGGAAAAAAAUUAAGAUAUUUAUGUAACCUUUGAAUUACUCCCUGAAUCUGAUUCUCUCUCAGUUUCUCUCUGUCAAUUGGUCAUUUAUUUGCUGUUUUUUUGGCAAAAAAUCAUCAUAACAUCAACAACCAGGAAGGAAAAAUAUAUUCAAAGAUGAGCUGAUUGAUUGAAUAAAAACAAAGACGCUGAUCGAUGAGACCACCAGAUUAUAUGUUUAGAUAACCAUAGAAUUGGAGCAAUAAAAUGAUCACCAAUAUAAAAAAAAGACUGAGGUAUGAAUAAGGAUAAAAAAACUGAUCGCUAUGGUCAAGAAUCAAUCGGAGGAAAAAAAAUGUUAUUCUCAUGAAAAAAGAGCCAUCAAGACUUUUGACUAUUCUUUUGGAUUCUGAUUGUUUCCAGUUGAUGUUCCCAGUGGAGUAUUAUUAUCAUGAAAGUUAAUAUUAUCGUUGAUUAUUGUCAAUGAAGAAAUAAUAAUAAUAAUGUUCUUCAUGAGGAAAUUUGAAAAUGUAAAAAUUGAACAAUAACUUUGAUCUGAAGCAGAAGAAGAUUAUGAUGAAAGAGGAGGAUAAGAGAUCAUCUUCUGGGAGAGGAUGUUGAUAAUGAUGAUACUGGUACAUUGGGCUGAAGAGUGAUAGAUAUUUAUUAUAUUCAUAACGAUGGAGAGAUUUAUGUUUGUUGUGUUGCAACUGGAAAUCAAAUCUGAUGAAUGAUUUCACUUUUGUAGACAAUUUUUCAUGUUAACGAAAACGAAGUAACUAUUUUAUCAUCAUUUUACUUUUCCUUUUCUUUAUUCAGUUUUUUUGCUUCAGAAUGGAUGGUCAAAUGGUCAAGAAUUCACAUGAAUCAUGAUGGAAUAUUGAAAAUGAAAGAUGAAACUCAGAUUAACUCGUUGAUCUUUUCAUUUACUUUCUUUAAAGGAUGAAAAUGAUGAUGAUCAACAUCAAGAUUCCCGACGAUAAUGAUCUUCUAUUAAUACUUGGAGAAUUGAUAUUUCUUGAUUUGAAUGAAACUGCAGAUUCUUUUGGUUUCCUCGUCAUCAAAAAAUGGCGAAAAUAUUAAUAUCAGCAUCGUUAUCAUCAUUGUCAUCUCUCUACAACCAUGGAUGAGGAAAAGUGUCUCAAGUUUUAUCACCAUGAGAAUGAUAUAUUGACAGAAAUGGAUUCAAAUUUCACAAGACAAGAGGAAAAGAAAGAGAGAGAGAGAGAGAGAGAGAUGAAGAUGACAACAACGAAAAUUGGAAGAUAAAGAUUACAAAGAGACUCUACUAAAAAAAGAUGAGGAAGAGACAGGAAGAUGUAACUGAUUUCCCGUGAAGAGAAUCUUCAUCUUUUCAUCUCUUUAUUUUCACUCACUCGAAACUUGGAAAACAUUUUGAUGCAGAUCUUUUAGAAUGUCGAACUGAUUUUAUCUUGUUCGAUCUCUAAUUUUCUGUACUUGUCUUCUUCUAUCGUUUUUCACUUUCUUUCGACUUUUAUCAUCAUUGAGUAUUCUUACCGUGUGGUGUAAAGAUAAUGAUGAUGAUAAGAGAAAAGAAUAAGAAGAAGAAGAUGACAAAAGUGAAGAAAAAGCAUGAGAGUAAAAUAUGGAAAAACGAAGAAAAAAAAAUAGUCUGAACAUGAACUUGGAACAUCAACUGAAUUCUAGAUUAAAGGUGUUGUCUCCCUGGUCUUCCUUUGAAAAGCAUUAACCCAAUUCUGAUGAUGGGGUGAACAUGAGUAACACUCAUGGAGAUAAUAAUAAUGAUGAUGAAGAUAAUCACCAUCAUAAUGAGAGAGUAAGAGAAGGUAAAAGUCUCUUUAUCUUUCAAAAUGAAAGGCAAGUUGUUGACCAAGCAUGAGAAUUAUAAUAAUAACCAUGAUGGAAUUGAAAUACCAAGAAUGCUCCUGAUAACAAUUAGAUUCCAGAUAAUAAUCAAUGAUGAUGAACACAAUUUAAGGAUAUGAAAGCAAUAAUAAUCUUACUAUUCUGAUGUCGAGAUACAGUUUGGAUUGUGAAUAUUCAUCGUCAUGGUAAAGAUUAUCAUCUAUAAGUUUGACACUUGAUGAAGAUAAUCAACAGGAAUUAGUUGUAAUCAUUUUCGUUGAUUGUUGGUGUUGAUUGAAAGGAGAGACAAAAAAGUUUCUGUAACAAUAAUAAGACUGAAGAAAACAACAAAAACGAUCAGAAUGAGAUGAGAUUAAAGGAUUUUCAUCUCUCCAUCUUUUUUACGAACAUCAUCUUCCUUGUCAUCUCCAUCAUCUUCAUCUUCAUCUUCAUCUUCAUCAUCUUCUCUUUAUCUUUGAAAUCGAUAUUGAACCAUUUUCCUGUUCUCAUGAAAUCCAUGUAAAUUUUCAACUUGAACAUGACAUAAGAAGGAGAUUCUAUUCUGGAAAAAGUGAUAACUUGUGUUAGAGAAGAUGAUUUUUCAACAUCAUCUCUCUGGAAACGGAAACCCAAGCAAGAGCAUGAUGAUGAUGUAAAUUUUUAUUUACAUGUUACAAAAGGUAAACAAACAAAUGACAAUAAAGAAGACAGAAAAGGAAUAAAGAUAAUCAGUGAAAAAAGUAAGAUGAUAAACAAAAGAAGAGAAAAAAAUUUCCUCAUCAUUUUUAUCAUGGAAAAUUUUCACUUAAUCUUUGUUGAAACAAUUUUCAUGAUAAAUUCAAAGUUCAAGGCUCGUUGGAAUGGAUGAAAGUUGAUUGGAUGUCUACAAUUGGGUGAGUUGUACAAUCAACCCAAGAAAAACAUGAUAACCUGAAGUAAAAAAAAGGUAACCCUGUUAAUUUGCCUGGUAUAUUAUUUUGUGUUUACCUUGUAUAUUAAUAUUAUUUACCUGUGUGUUCAUGGUGUGUGUGUGUCUAUUAUUUGUUCAGAGGUUACCAUGAUGAUAAAGGUGAAAAUUGUAAGAAAAUUUGAGUUAAUGUUUCUUAAAUAAUCUAUGGAAAUUAAUAAUAAUGAUUAUCAAAUCUUAGAAUCGAUGGAUUUUUUUUUACCUUUUCAGGUAAAAAAAUUUCAAAUUUAUUUUCUCUUUCAUCUUUUGUUCGUGGCUCAAUUCAAUUUUCAUUCAUUCUCAUGUUUUUCUUUAAAAAUUUUCUUCCUUUUCUCUUCUU